UGUGAGGGGGUUACUAGUGACAGAGUGAGGAAGGGGUGACUAGUGGCAGAGUGAGGGAAGGAAGGGGUGACUAGUGACAGAGUGAGGGAGGUGGUGACUGUUACUAGUCACCACCUCCCUCUGUCACUACUCCCUCCCUUCUUCUGUCACUAGUCACCCCCUCCCUCACUCUGUCACCAGUCAUCCCCUCCCUCACUCUGUCACCAGUCAUCCCCUUCCCUCACUCUGUCACCCCCUCAUUCUGUCAAUAGUCACCCCCUCACUCUAGUGACAGAGUGAGGG